UACGAAGGGUGCAAGCGUUACUCGGAAUUACUGGGCGUAAAGCGUGCGUAGGCGGUCCGUUAAGUCUGUUGUGAAAGCCCUUGGCUCAACCAAGGAAUUGCUUCGGAUACUGGCGGACUUGAGGCUAGUAGAGGUCACUGGAACUGACGGUGGAGCGGUGAAAUGCGUAGAUAUCGUCAGGAACGCCGGUGGUGAAGACGGGUGACUGGGCUAGUUCUGACACUGAGGCACGAAAGCGUGGGGAGCGAACGGG
rnacentral:rRNA from 1 species